AAAUUACUUCUGAUGUUUAAAACGGACAGUUAAACCAAGAAUUAAAACCAGAAUUUAUAUUUGGAGUCAUAUAUUGUUUGUUUACAAAUUAAUACGAAAUGACUGUCAGUGGGUCUUUAAAACCACGAAGAAGAAGAAGCUGAGCGCGCGACGCUACACUGUUUACCUUCGCGCGGUUCGGGUUCGAGUCCCCGGAAGCAGCCCUCCACUCUCCCAUCGACCAGCUGGAACUUCCGGUCGGUGAGGUUCUGCAGGACGUCCUCGUACGUCUUCACCCACGCCGCGUUCUUGUGGGCUGUGAAGCGCGCGCGCUCCGGUGCGGACGGCAGGUCGGUGACCGGGUGCCGCUCACACAGCCAGUUCUUCAUCCCGCCGUCCAGCACGGACACGGAGCGGUGGCCGAACAAGCGGAACAUCCACCACACGCGCGGCGCCGCGAACGAGCCCAGGUCGCUGCAGUCGUACACGACCACGUGCGUGUCGUUCCCGAUUCCCAGAUUCCCCACGUACUCGGAGAAGUCGCGCUCCGCGGGCAGCAUGUGAUCGAACGGGGACGAGGUGUCGCAGCACUCAUCGAUAUCGAAGAACGACGCGCCCGGGAUGUGACGCUGCGCGAACUCCUCACGCACGUUCCGUUUGAGUUGCGGGAGGUACCAUGAGGCGUCCAGAACCCGCAGACUCGGACCCACGAGCUUGUUUCUGACCGCCUCAGCCAACCACUGAGCUCCAACUACAGCCUCCACCUGAGCCGCCAUGACACUCGGUUCCUCUUGACGUUUGAGUCAGCAAAGAAUCGGCAUGUAUUUCUUGGCUUUCAUUCUGGGGAUGAUCUGCAUGUCUCUAACAUCAUUGUGAUGGAGCAACCAACACAGCAUGGUGUCGUAAGGCUUCUUGUACCAUCUCAGGGGUGGAGUGUCGUUCCCCAAGCCCUACCGUCUCCCCCAACCCCAAGAGCAAAUCGGCUGCUUUUGCUUUGGUUUCACUAGACCCUUCAACAUAAGCUUGGUAGAAGGGCACACUGAGGUGAUCCAUUUCUGUCAACCAAACAGCACCACCAUACUUUUCAAUCAAGACUAAUUCUCCUUUGCGAGUAAGCUUUCUACCAAACUGAGACUGCCCCUCUUGUACCCAUUCAAUACAGUCAGAAGAUGGCAUCAUUGGAAUGGCUUGCUCCAGAGUCACUCUUGGGAGUGGUUUCUCCAUCUUCUUCACCAGAUCCUGUGCAUGAGACAGCCUGCCUGCUGUACUUAGGAUCAUCUUUGAGUGAUUUUUUAACAUUGCUUUAGUCAAAUGGACCACAUAGCCUUCUGCUAUGCUUAUAGCUGCAUCCAUGUCACCAAGCAGCUCACACUCAACAUGGUAGAACUGAUUCAGAUGAGUAGCAUCAGGGUCCUCUCCUCGAAAACUGGGAGACACAUAGUAGGUACCUGGAAGCCCCUCUUGAAAUCGUAAGAAGUAUUCUAGCACAAACUGCAUGGAAUCAGCCAAGUACACAUCUUGGCCUAGCAUAUUGACAAAUACAGGCUCAGAAUCAGAUCCUAAGCCCAUUGGUGAAGAAAUGGUGUCAGUUGUGAUUGGUGUCAGAGCAUAGGAGUACUUACAUUUGUUACUGAAGUAAUCAACCGUACUGUGGAAGACAGUAUUUUGGAUCUGAAAGAGAUUGCGGUACCAGUGGCUCUUGAUGGCUAAUAUGGAGUGGCUUUGAGGUGUUUCCCAAGUGCGAGGUGGUGUUAUCUUUGUAAUUUUGGUGUGGAUCUCCUUAAGAGCAUCUGCACUUGCUGGAGGACCAUCGACAGAUGUGACAUAUCCGGGAUAGAUUGGGCAGAACUGAGGAGGCACAGUGGGAGGCAUUUCACCUGAUUUUGUGACAAUUGGAAUUAACUUGACAUGAGCAUAGUUGAUUUCCAAACCCUCAAAUAUGAGGGCCACACCUGUAGCACCCAUUCCCUCUUCCAGAAGUUGAGCUACUUUCCGUGCAGCCAAGAUGAGGGCUGUGUAGUCAUUCUUGUCUAGCCGGAAGAUGUCACUUGAUAGCGGUCGUCUUGGCACCACAACAGUAAGGCCAGGUGCAUUAGGGAAUGGGGUAAGAAAGGAUACAUGUUGAUCAUCUUCCCAGACACGCCAGUGUUGUUCCUCCCCUCUCACAAUGCGUGAAAAAAGUCCACCGUGAGAUGGAUCUCCAUGGAAAUCACAGUAAGAUGGAGCAUUGGGGGUUGGGAGCUGAGCUCUGAUCUUUGCCUGGACUUGGUCAAGGAUUGCAUCCUCACAACGUGGACCACUCUUUGAACUGCAAUAACCAGGGUCAUGUAUGUGGAAUUCCUCUUCCCUGGCAAGGUAAGCCUUCCAGUUGGGUUCUAGGCCAUAAAGAGGUAGGAUUUUGAUAAGAGCAGGCUUGUCUAUUUGGGGUCUAAACACAAGGGCACAGCGGUACACUCCUAGUUUCUCACAAAGCAAGUUAGCAACUGUUUGUGCCCCUAAUAACAUUGCCACAUAGUCAGGCACAGUUAACUGAAAAAUGCUCCUUGGUCCAUUUAAGGCCUUUCGAGUGAGAAUGGUUGUUCCUGGGGUCCAUGGUUCAGCAUGCAAAUAAGCUAUGAGCUCAUCAGUUUCCCAAAUCACAUUUGCAAAGUUCAUCAUGGGUCUGAAAACUUCAGCUCGAGCAACACCACUGUUCAUUGAUGCAACAAACAUUACCCCAGCAUUUGUUUCGACUACAGCUUCACCUUUGUGAUCAACAGCAAUGAUUCCUGCACAUUUUGUAUCCAGAACCUCAUAAAUCACUUCUCGACAGGCUUGUCUUAGAUUGUACCCUUUGAGGUUGUAGAGACUAGCUACUUUAUGAGCAACUGUCUGACAUAAGAAUGCAUCACCAUCACCAGAGCAUGUCACCGCUAGUUUAUCAUCAGCAUAUAUCCCAGCCCCGACAAUUGCUGUGUCUCCAACUCUACCUUUCCACUUGCCUGAUAACCCUCCUGUGGAUGUGGCUGCUGCUAGCUUGCCCCAACAAUCCAGAGCAACUGCACCUACAGUUUGAGGAUGGUUGUUUGUAUUUCCACUGAGUUUCAUUGCAAGUUCUUUGUAUCUGAUAUCAGUGUGAAAGUAGUCUGUUUUCAUUGGCUUUUCUUUUUCUGAAAUACCCUUCAAAAACUCCUGAGCUCCAUCUCCUGUUAGUAAUGCAUGGUCACUCUUCUCCAUGACAAGACGGGCUGCUUUUACUGGGUUCUUUACAUUGUACAAGCAAGCUACUGAUCCAGAGUUCUUUUUGUGUCCAUCCACAAUAGUAGCCUCCAUCUCAUGCUGGCCAUUUUGGUUGUAUGCAGAACCCUUGCCUGCAUUAAAUAAGAAACAGUCUUCUAAAGCAGCAACACUUCGCUGCACUGCAUCCAGACUGCUGCCUCCAUGGCUUAGCACUCGCACUCCCAGUGUAAGGGCUGUAUGAAGGGCAAAUUCAAUAACCCCAACCACCUUAUUGCUCAACAUCAUUUCCUCCCCUGCUCCACCAUGAAUUACCAGGGUGAAAUCUGGCUUUCCUGUGAGAGUAGAGUCUGGGGACUGUUUGUCUACCACUUUAUUCCAUCCAUUUGUGAAAUCAUCUGCUGCAAUACCAUUUGUUUCUUUCUCUGUUCCCAGAAGGCAUUCAAUGGCUCCCAUCUGCCUGGCAAUUGCAUACUUUACUGCCAGAAGCAUCACUAAAUUUAUGUUUAGUUCAAGACACUGUUUGAGUUUUCCUAAGAUCCCAGCAAAUGUUCCCUUUGCAUUCAGCACCAGACGGACCUUGUCCUUCUUGCCGAGGUACGUAACAGCUAGCUGAUUUGUUGCAUAAACGUUCCCAACAGCACAUUCAACACCAUCCAUCAGAUCUGAUCCAGUCAGGUAGAUGGAGGGGCAUCCAAAAAUAUCUAGAAAUUUCUUAAGCGGGUUAUCUUGAGACAUACCAUUGCGCAAGACAGCUAAAUGAGGCCCUACACCACUACCACUUUUAGUGGCUUUGAUAUGUUUUUUGUGCUCCAUGAAUGCUAAGUGGAAUUGUUGAAGGAGCUCUUUGGUAUGGCGAGGGAUAUUGUCUGGCCCGAUGCAAGACCCCAGCACUGUAACUAGCUGACGAGACAGCAUUGUGACUGAAUAUGUCGGAUCACAGCGACCGUGUUUGUAGUGUCGCAUAUGAGUAGGGGUCACAAUAAUGUAUUUGUCAGCUGAUUCUCCAAGAGUUUGCCUUAGAGAGAGCUGCAAUGCAAAAUUGAUCCAUGCAUCAUAUAAACCUCUGUGAUCCCUUAGAGUGGUGAAAACAUCUGGGUAAGAUGAAACUUCAAAGGUAACAAUAGGGUUACUUGCUUCUGAAAGGGGGUAAAGAGAUUGAUCUAGCAGUUUAAUGCCUCCUAGUGGGAACUGAAGAGGUUUUGGGUGGGAAACAGAAUUAUCUGAUCCCCCUAUAUGCUCUACAGUUAGGGACUCUGAAAAUUUCCAUACGCGUCCAACCAUGAGGCCAGCCACCAUGCCAUCCAGGGCACUGUGUUCAAACAGCAUGCCAGUUACACCAUCCUUGAACACCACCAUGUUUACCACCUGUAGAGAAAAAUGUCUAUCAAUUUCAAUGUAAAUGUACCUUUCAAAAAUGCAAGGUUGGUUUUGAAUGAACAAGUUAUCAUGGCUACAUUGAAAUACACUAUAUGGCCAAAAGAAUGUGGGCAUCUGUCCAUCACACAAUGCAGAUCCCAUUCCAAAACCAUGGGCAUUAAUAUAGGUUUGUUCCUCUUUUACUGCUAUAAUAGCCUCCACUCUAAUGCCAAGGUUUUCCACCAGGUUUUGGGGCAUGGCUAUUGGGAUUUCCGCCCAUUCAGCCAAAUGUACAUUAGUGAGGUAAGGAACUGCUGUGGGGGGCAAGAAGGCCUGGUUCCCAGUUCAUCUCAAAGGUAUUCAAAGGUGCUAAGAUCUGUGCAGUGCAACUGAGUUUUUCCACAUCAACCUCAACAAACCAUAUCUUGGACCUCACAUUGUGUACAGGGGCAUAGUCAUGCUGGAACAGGUUUUGGUCUCUUAGACAAUGUUCAGACUGCACCCUGAAACGACCCAUAUCCGAUUUUUUUGCCCAUAUGCGACCUGUAUCCGAUUUGUUAUUGACAAUCUGAACGACACAGAUCCGAUUUUUUCACAUGCGACCCAGGCCGCUUGGAUAUGUGGUCCUAAAU